UGGGGAAUUUUGCACAAUGGGGGAAACCCUGAUGCAGCGACGCCGCGUGAUUUAGAAGGCCUUCGGGUUGUAAAAAUCUUUUUUACGGGAUGAAAAUGACAGUACCGUAAGAAUAAGGUCCGGCUAAAUACGUGCCAGCAGCCGCGGUAAUACGUAUGGACCGAGCGUUGUCCGGAAUCAUUGGGCGUAAAGGGUACGUAGGCGGCCUAGUAAGUUAGAAGUGAAAUAAUAUAGCUCAUCUAUAUAAAGCUUUUAAAACUGCUAGGCUUGAGAGAUGGAAGGGAAAGUGGAAUUCCUAGUGUAGCGGUGAAAUGCGCAGAUAUUAGGAAGAAUACCGGUGGCGAAGGCGACUUUCUGGUCAUCAUCUGACGCUGAGGUACGAAAGCGUGGGUAGCAAACAGG
rnacentral:rRNA from 1 species